GCUUGACAGAAGAAGGGAACUUAAUCGCACAGCAAAGGAAUGGGCGAAGGAAAAUGGCUACCGGUAUUCAUGGCACCGAAAUGGAAACAUUUUUUUUGAGGCGGAGGGACGGAGAAAGAGCGAUUCUUGUGAAAUGCGAGGUGGACUUGCAAAACUUGAGGCGAGACUUCGAAAUUGACAUCAAGCAGCUAUCAUCAGCAUCAGACAUCAUCAUCAGAGAAGAAAAGAACCUCACCGGCGCAGUCGAC